UUUGUUUCGGUGAUCUUGCGGGUGACGUGCAGAAAGGUCAUCUCUUAGAAUUUUAGGGUGAAGAAGAGCACAGAAGCUAUGACGUCCAAUAGAACGACAGCGUGUCCUUGAAGAAGCAUCUCAAGAUCCCCUCCCGAGCAGCCCCAGGCAGUUUUCAGGUUUCUUCGAAGCUCUAAGAAAGCCUUGUCUACCUCGUGAGGUCGCAGGAGUCCAGGAAUGAACAAGACAAUCAUUAGCAACUACAGACCUCAGAAACCAGAUAACCAGACCAGCACAUGCAGAGCUCCGGUUGGCGGGCUACGCCCCUUCCGGGAGAACCAACUGGCUCGUCCAAUCACCGGCAGGAAGGGCAACUCGUGGGUGAUGCCAGGAUUCAACAUGGCGUCUUGGUGCCGCUCGGUGGUCUAUUCGGGCCUCCCCCUGCAGACCUACGCCGUAGCUGCUCGUCCAAUCGCCGAGAGGGAGGUCGAGCCUAGGUGCGCCCUUGCAACAAAGCUGGCGGCCAGAGGCGCUCACGUUUAAGGGAUUCCGCUGGUCCUUCGUGCGAGCUGCCUUGGAGGUUGUGUGCCCCUGAACCGCGCCUCACUGCUCUUGCUGUGGCAAGAGACAGAUGUGAGGGGCAAGGUGUACUCUCCGCUUUGGGUUCCUGCCCCGAGGCGCCGAGCAGAGGGGUUGCACAGGUCCCGGGUCCCAGCUGGAGGACGUGGGGAAGAGCAGCAGCACGCCCACUUCCCUGCAGUGUUUGUAGAGUACCUGCGCGUGUCACCGUGGCCAGAACCGUCCACUUGUAACCAGCUGGACCCCAGUAUUCCUGUCAGCUGCAGCUGAGUAGAUGUGUCUCGUUUUUUUCUCACUCAUGAGGGAUGGUGGCAUUAGUUUAUCAGACAAAAUGUCUGGGGCCCCAAAGAGAAAGAAAAUUGAGCCUGUUCAAGACGUGAACCAAAAGCUACCCCCAAAUCUGACUUCCUUUCUUGUUCCUGUAAACUUUCAGAUGUGUGAACCAAUCCCAGUUAUGACAAAUUGGCAUAGUAGUUCUAUGCAUGCCUACCUGGCAUGGUGGACAGGUGCAUGUAUAUUUAGGAGUGAAAAAAAUGCGUUGUUACAUCUGUUUUAAAAAUUUGCAUUUUAGGAGACCUGAAGCUGAGCAAUACAGUGUCCAACCCCGGUCAACCUGAAAUCACCCGAAAUAAACCUGUAGCCCAGCAAAAGUAGGUGUAUUGAUUCAUUGCAGUAAGGGGCGCUGCACACCAGAAACACCAUGGGGCAUUUAACCAAAUGAAGGAAAAGAUACAGUUACAGGAUUGUGGAAUGGAAUUUAAACAAUUCCAUUGUUUAGAUGGAGCUUAAAUGAAACACUGUUUAGAAAGGCUCAAAGCAAAGCAGGACUGUGUAAAGGGGUCAACAUCAGGCCUAGACAGCAAAAUGGACCCAUGAAAAUGUUGUCCAAAAACCCUUUUCUGAAGCUUUGCACCUGGGUUGUAAAUUGAAACUGCUUUUCUAUGUUAAAGUGACUUAGAUCUUCCAGGCAAGAGUGAGAUGUUUCAUUUUUACUGAUAAAAUUUCAAAGACCAAA